rnacentral:rRNA from 1 species
UCGCCAAAAGAUGAGUCCGCGUCCGAUUAGCUAGUUGGUGGGGUAAUGGCCCACCAAGGCGACGAUCGGUAGCUGGUCUGAGAGGACGAUCAGCCACACUGGGACUGAGACACGGCCCAG